GACGAACGCUGGCGGCGUGCCUAAUACAUGCAAGUAGAACGCUGAAGGGAGGAGCUUGCUCUUCUUGGGUGAGUUGCGAACGGGUGAGUAACGCGUAGGUAACCUGCCGGGUGGCGGGGGAUAACUAUUGGAAACGAUAGCUAAUACCGCAUAAAAUUGAGUAUUGCAUGAUAAUUAAUUGAAAGAUGCAACUGCAUCACUACCAGAUGGACCUGCGUUGGAUUAGCUAGGUGGUGAGGUAACGGCUCAACAAUGCGAAGAUACAUAGCCUAGCUGAGAGGGUGAUCGGCCAAACUGGGAAUGAGACAAGGCCCAGAAUCCUACGGGAGGCAGCAGUAGGGAAUCUUCGGAAAUGGGGGGAAACCUGACCGAGCACAGCCGCGUGAGUGAAGAAGGUUUUCGGAUCGUAAAGCUCUGUUGUAAGGGAAGAAAGGGUGUGAGGGUGGAAAGUUCACACUGUGACGGUAUCUUCACAGAAAGGGACGGCUAACUACGUG
rnacentral:rRNA from 1 species